UGCGAAGGGGGCUAGCGUUGUUCGGAGUUACUGGGCGUAAAGGGCGCGUAGGCGGCGCACCAAGUCAGGCGUGAAAGCCCUGGGCUCAACCCGGGAAUUGCGCUUGAGACUGGUGUGCUUGAGUACGGGAGAGGAUAGUGGAAUUCCCAGUGUAGAGGUGAAAUUCGUAGAUAUUGGGAAGAACACCGGUGGCGAAGGCGGCUAUCUGGACCGUAACUGACGCUGAGGCGCGAAAGCGUGGGGAGCAAACAGG
rnacentral:rRNA from 1 species